rnacentral:rRNA from 1 species
AGAACGAACGCUGGCGGCAGGCUUAACACAUGCAAGUCGAACGCGUGUAGCAAUACACGAGUGGCGCACGGGUGAGUAACGCGUGGAUAUCUGCCUUUUGGUUCGGAAUAACCCCGGGAAACUGGGGCUAAUACCGGAUGGUUCCUACGGGAUAAAGAUUUAUCGCCAAAAGAUGAGUCCGCGUCCGAUUAGCUAGUUGGUGGGGUAAUGGCCUACCAAGGCGACGAUCGGUAGCUGGUCUGAGAGGACGAUCAGCCACACUGGGACUGAGACACGGCCCAGACUCCUACGGGAGGCAGCAGUGGGGAAUAUUGGACAAUGGGGGCAACCCUGAUCCAGCCACGCCGCGUGAGUGAUGAAGGCCUUCGGGUUGUAAAGCUCUUUUGGCGGGACGAUGAUGACGGUACCGCAGAAUAAGCCCCGGCUAACUUCGCGCCAGCAGCCGC